rnacentral:rRNA from 1 species
UACGAAGGGGGCUAGCGUUGCUCGGAAUCACUGGGCGUAAAGCGCACGUAGGCGGACUCUUAAGUCGGUGGUGAAAUCCUGGAGCUCAACUCCAGAACUGCCUUCGAUACUGGGAGUCUCGAGUCCGGGAGAGGUGAGUGGAACUGCGAGUGUAGAGGUGAAAUUCGUAGAUAUUCGCAAGAACACCAGUGGCGAAGGCGGCUCACUGGCCCGGUACUGACGCUGAGGUGCGAAAGCGUGGGGAGCA